rnacentral:rRNA from 1 species
GGCCGCACUAGUGAUUUCCGUUUGAUCCCGGCAGAGGAUGAACGCUAGCGGCAGGCUUAACACAUGCAAGUCGAGGGGCAGCGGGGGUAGCAAUACCCGCCGGCGACCGGCGAAAGGGUGCGUAACGCGUGAGCAACCUGCCCGCAUCCGGGGCAUAAGCGGUGGAAACGCCGUCUAAUUUCCCAUAACAACGAGGGCCGCAUGACCCACGUUUGAAAGAUCCGUCGGAUGCGGAUGGGCUCGCGAGACAUUAGCUAGUCGGCGUGGUAACGGCACACCGAGGCGACGAUGUCUAGGGGUUCUGAGAGGAAGGUCCCCCACACUGGAACUGAGACACGGUCCAGACUCCUACGGGAGGCAGCAGUGAGGAAUAUUGGUCAAUGGGCGCAAGCCUGAACCAGCCAUGCCGCGUGAAGGAUUGAGGCCCUAUGGGUCGUAAACUUCUUUUGUGGCGGAGCAAUAAGGCGUACGCGUACGCCGAUGAGAGUACGUCACGAAUAAGCAUCGGCUAACUCCGUGCCAGCAGCCGCGGUAAUACGGAGGAUGCAAGCCGUUAUCCGGAUUUAUUGGGUUUAAAGGGUGCGUAGGCUGUUUGGAAAGUCAGGGGUGAAAGCCCGGCGCCUAACGCCGGAACUGCCUUUGAUACUUCCGAGCUGGAAUACGGAUGCCGUGGGAGGAAUGAGUAGUGUAGCGGUGAAAUGCAUA